rnacentral:rRNA from 1 species
CCUUGCGCGAUUAAUGAGCCGAUGUCGGAUUAGCUAGUGGCGGGGUAAAGGCCCACCAAGGCGACGAUCCGUAGCUGGUCUGAGAGGAUGAUCAGCCACACCGGAACUGAGACACGGUCCAGACUCCUACGGGAGGCAGCAGUGGGGAAUAUUGGACAAUGGGCGCAAGCCUGAUCCAGCCAUACCGCGUGGGUGAAGAAGGCCUUCGGGUUGUAAAGCCCCUUUGUUGGGAAAGAAAUCCAGCUGGCUAAUACCCGGUUGGGAUGACGGUACCCAAAGAAUAAGCACCGGCUAACUUCGUGCCAGCAGCCGCGGUAAUACGAAGGGUGCCAGCGUUACUCGGAAUUACUGGGCGUAAAGCGUGCGUAGGUGGUCGUUUAAGUCCGUUGUGAAAGCCCUGGGCUCAACCUGGGAACUGCAGUGGAUACUGGGCGACUAGAAUGUGGUAGAGGGUAGCGGAAUUCCUGGUGUAGCAGUGAAAUGCGUAGAGAUCAGGAGGAACAUCCAUGGCGAAGGCAGCUACCUGGACCAACAUUGACACUGAGGCACGAAAGCGUGGGGAGCAAACAGGAUUAGAUACCCUGGUAGUCCACGCCCUAAACGAUGCGAACUGGAUGUUGGGUGCAAUUUGGCACGCAGUAUCGAAGCUAACGCGUUAAGUUCGCCGCCUGGGGAGUACGGUCGCAAGACUGAAACUCAAAGGAAUUGACGGGGGCCCGCACAAGCGGUGGAGUAUGUGGUUUAAUUCGAUGCAACGCGAAGAACCUUACCUGGCCUUGACAUGUCGAGAACUUUCCAGAGAUGGAUCGGUGCCUUCGGGAACUCGAACA